UUGAAUCUCUGUUUCUCCCUUUUAUUCUGAUAUCCCUAAUUUUAUUUUCAGAAGUGCAGGGAUGCACCUAGUCAACUUGGCUGUCUCUUCCUGGAAUACAUGGAAUACAAAGGAUCCAUGGAAAAGCAGUCUGAAGCAGCUUUCACAACAUAGCAUCUCCCACCAUGUCCCCAGACUGCAAAUUACUAAUUUUGCUGAGCCACGAGGCACAGAGAAAAGAAGGAAGAUCAAGAACCAGGCACUGCCUCUAGUGAGAUGACAGAGAAGAAAUGCUGCGGGCAGCUAUUUCAACAGCUCUUUACCAAACAGAUUAUGCACGAUUUGUCUGGCAUUGAAUCACUGGCUUGUGUAAACACCAGAUGCAAGUGAAAUGCAAUGUCUUAACUAAAAUGCUGUGUUUUGGCCCGUGGAAGCAAUAGAUUAUUAAAGUUAAUGCUACUGUUACCUACAUUUAUU
rnacentral:lncRNA from 1 species